rnacentral:tRNA from 1 species
UUUGGGGUAGUUUAAAAAAUAUCAAUUUUGGGGAUUGAAGAUAAGCUUUGCUUUCCUAA